rnacentral:rRNA from 1 species
UACGUAGGUGGCAAGCGUUGUCCGGAUUUAUUGGGUUUAAAGGGUGCGUAGGCGGCCCUGUAAGUCAGUGGUGAAAUACUCUAGCUUAACUAGAGGGGUGCCAAUGAUACUGCAGGGCUUGAGUACAGAUGAGGUAGGCGGAAUUGACGGUGUAGCGGUGAAAUGCAUAGAUAUCGUCAAGAACACCUAUAGCGAAGGCAGCUUACUGGGCUGUAACUGACGCUGAGGCACGAAAGCUAGGGGAGCAAACAGG